UUGUAACAAUUUUUUUCUCAACUAAAAUAUGCUUUUAAAAAUCCUUGUAAAUAUUUUUUGGCGGAAAAUAGAUUUACAAGGGAUUUUAAAAUGGUUUUAAAAUAUUUACAAUGGAUUUUAAAAGGGUUUUAAAAGAUUUACAAAGAUAUUAAAAGGUUUUAAAAAGAUUUACAAGAGUUUUUAAAGGGUCUUUUUGUAAAUUCUUUAAAAAUCUUUUAAAAACCCUUGUACAUCUUUUAAAACCCUUUUAAAUCCUUUAAAAAUCUCUUGUAAAUCGUUUAAAACCCUUUUGAAAUCCCUUGUAAAUCUUUCAAAACACUUUUAAAACAAUUUUAAAUCCUUUAAAAAUCUUAAAAAAAAC
rnacentral:sRNA from 1 species